rnacentral:lncRNA from 1 species
UGGGAAUGUCCAGCCUGGAGAAGGGAAGGAUCCAGGGAAACCUUGGAGACUCUUCCGGUGCCUGAAGGGGCUCCAGGAGAGCUGGAGAGGGACUUGGGACAAGGGAUGGAGGGACAGGACACAGGGAAUGGCUUCCCACUGCCAGAGGGCAGGGAUAGAUGGGAUUUGGGAAUGAGAUCUCUGUGAGUGUGAUGAGGAGCUGGGAUGGAAUUCCCAGAGAAUCUGUGGCUGUUCCUGGAACCCUGGAAAUGUCCAAGGCGAGGUUGGACAGGGCUUGGAGCACCCUGCGAGGGGGGAAGGUGUUCCUUGCCCAUGGGACCAUCCCAUCCCAUCAUCCCAUCCCAUCAUCCCAUCCCAUCAUCCCAUCCCAUCCCAUCAUCCCAUCCCAUCCUAUCAUCCCAUCCCAUCAUCCCAUCCCAUCAUCCCAUCCCAUCCCAUCCCAUCAUCCCAUCCCAUCCCAUCCCGUCAUCCCAUCCCAUCCCAUCCCAUCCCAACCCAUCAUCCCAUCCCAUCCCAUCAUUCCAUCCCAUCAUCCCAUCCCAUCAUCCCAUCCCAUCAUCCCAUCACAUCCCAUCAUCCCAUCCCAUCAUCCCAUCCCAUCAUCCCAUCCCAUCCUGUCCCAUCCCAUCCCAUUAUCCCAUCCCAUCCCAAGGAUCCCAGGACACGGUUGGGCGUGUUCAGCCCUCGCCAUCUCCAUCCCCGCCACCAUCAGAUUUCGGUGUUGGAGCUGCCCGUGGUUGUCACCCAGCCCGGGUGUGUCGGGGCCGGUGGUUUUGGGAUGGUGCCGGAGGUGGAACCCACGGAGCCGACGCCUUCUCCCGGUGUCGAAAUCGGGACGGAGGGAAGGAGCUUUGGGAUCUUGGGAGCUGCGCUGCUCCAGCUGGACCUGGGGAGGUGGAAUCCCCAAUUUUGGAGUUUUUGUGGGGUGCUGUGGGUGGCAGCGCCAGGCUGUGGGGUCAUCUCCAGGUUGGUGAUUCCAGUCCCUCCAGGCCUUCCCAUUCCCU